rnacentral:rRNA from 1 species
UACGUAGGCAGCGAGCGUUGUUCGGAGUUACUGGGCGUAAAGAGUGCGUAGGCGGUUUUCUAAGUUUGGUGUGAAAUCUCCCGGCUUAACUGGGAGGGUGCGCCGAAAACUGGAAGGCUUGAGUAUGGGAGAGGUAAGCGGAAUUCCUGGUGUAGCGGUGAGAUGCGUAGAUAUCAGGAGGAACACCUGCGGUGUAGACGGCUUACUGGACCAUAACUGACGCUGAGGCACGAAAGCGUGGGUAGCAAACAGG